AUGUUUUUCAGGUGGUUCUACUAUUCUGGUGGUUCUUCUAUUCUAGGCGGAUCGACAAUCGGCUGCUUCAGAUCCAGAGUUUGGUGUUUGUGGCUGCUUUGUCCUUUUGCAAGUUUGUUUUUGGUGCUGAGUUGGUAUUAUGAGCUUUUGAUUAUCUGGUUGACUUCAUAUUUGUUAAGUUUUGCAGGUUUCAAGACUUUUGGUUUGCCUUUCUACGCUGACACUAACUUUAUAUCCACUUCAGUCUUCGUGAUUGAUGUGUGA